UGGGGGCGCAACGCCCUC
rnacentral:snRNA from 1 species